UUGUGUUCAUUAAAAGUGUUGAAAUCGACGGAAAGGUUCAGGUGUUUAUGUAGAAUGAGAACGAGAACUGCAGAACCAGAGGAACGCUUUAACCGGCCAAAACGGAACAAUGAUCUCCAAAACUAUGACACUGUUUUGUGCUGCUUUCAGCCUCGAUCAAAAACCGUCUGUUCUGGUUUGCUAGUUAACGGAAACAGGACACACAAACUUGCGUUUGCGAGAAAAAAGUCCUAGUUAUGAGAUAAAAUAGGAGUCUUCCCGGUGAAGAGAGAUGGCUCUUAUCAAACAGGAGAGUGAAGACCUGAGGAUCGUAGAAGUAUUCAGCCUGAAACAUGAAGAGACUGAGGAACAAACGGGUUCGUUUCUUUCUCAAAGAGGAACUUACUCAUUUUUUGUGCAGCUCUACAGUGUCUUAAUUAGCGUGGUUUUAUUUGGCAUGGAGUGGGUUCGACCGGACUAACACUAACACUUGCCAUGUCCUAAUUACUGUAAUUAUGAGAUACCAACUUGUAAAAAGUGUUCACAUCCUUAAGUUAUGAGUUUUCUGAGAAGCUUCACCAUGACUGUACUUCACGCAGAACCAUAGAAAAUACAUGCUAUAAUAUAACAACAGAUUACGCAUGUUAUUUUCUUCUUGUUUGUUUAGGUUAGCAAUAACAUUUGUCGCAGUCAUUAAUAAGAAACAAACAGUAAGUGUAUUUACCUGACGCGCUCUAUGUUUGAUGACAGUAGCACACACGUGUCUUAUGUUCGACGGGGCCUCAGUCUGUUGACAGUCGCUAUGGAGACGGGUGAUCCCGAGCUCAACGUCGUGUGUUGUCAUCUUCAGAUUACGGUAAUUAAGACACGGUGUGAAUUCAGCACAGUAUCGGCCUAAAAGUGUUUGUUUGGGUGCUGCACGCUGAUUUCACAGCAGACCUUUUAAAACGAACACUAUAACGUUUGUAUUUGGUAUGUUAUAUUAUUUCCUUGAUUCAUGAUCAGCUUGUUUAUGAUGGUACUCGCACAUAUGAAGUUAAAGCCAUGAAAAAAAAGGCGUUCUGAUCUUACUUCAGUUGUCGGUCAUGAAAAUAACCUAAAUGCUGUUAUUGUACAGUUCUCCAGCAGACUUACUAUGCUAAAUUCAGGUAACCCAAAAACUUUCCAUCAUGUUUGAAAAGGCACUGGAUGUUUGGGAGAAGCUGCACUCAUUAGACUACAUGCUUCAAUGGCUGUCUUCAAU